rnacentral:rRNA from 1 species
CCCUUAGAUGUUCUGGGCCGCACGCGCGCUACACUGAUGCAUUCAACGAGUUUCUUCCUGGUCCGAGAGGAAUGGGUAACCUUUUGAAAGUGCAUCGUGAUAGGGAUAGACUAUUGCAAUUAUUGGUCUUCAACGAGGAAUUCCUAGUAAGCACAAGUCAUCAGCUUGUGUUGAUUACGUCCCUGCCCUUUGUACACACCGCCCGUCGCUCCUACCGAUUGAAUGUUCCGGUGAGCUCUUCGGACUGCGCGGUCUGCAGUUUCUGCGUUCCGUGCGGAAAGUUGCGCAAACCUUAACAUUUAGAGGAAGGAGAAGUCGUAACA